UGGUACAUAAUUGUUUUCCUUCUAGUUCAGAAACACAUUUCUUAUAUCAUUCAUAUCGAUUUAUAUGUGGUUACUAACUUUCCAUAUUAAUGAGUGAAGAUUUUAAGAGAAUAUAGCUUUCAAAACAGGGCCAUAAAUUAAUGAAAAGUUUUGAAAUUACUUACAUUGUCAUGAAAGAAAAAUAGCACCAACAGUGUAAAAUUAACAAUUUUAAAAUUUAAACCCUAAUGUGUCAUGCAACAUGUAAGUUCUUUUUAUUAUUGCCAAAACACAUAUUUUAGUUACAACACUUGUCACUCAAUUGCUUAAAAACCUAUUAGUUAUUAGGAAACUUAAAUCUUAAAAUUAUUAAGACAAAAUUAAGGAGUUUAGCCAUUCAGGCUCAGAAUCACAUUCAACACCUUAUCCGGGGAGCUUAGAUUGCCAAAGGUCGAUCCUGUAGUCCGUCCGCAGGAACAAGAUGACCAAAGCACCAAGACUCAACUGAAACUUCUUUGUGCUUCCUCUCCUUGUCUUGACCAAGUUUACACAAAGAUGAAGUUUGAGGUUUUCUUGGUUUUUAAGCUUCUGGAAAUAUAGAGAAACAAUUUUUCUACCUCUAAUUCAAGAAUCACAAUUUCAAAUAUCUUUUGAAUUAAUCCCAAGAAAGAAGAGAUGAGAGAAUUUGGCUUGAGAGAAAAAUGGAGAAGAAGAAAAGAUUAACACUCUUAAUCUUCCAUUCUCAAACUAUUAGAGAGUUUUAAUUCCCCUUAAAGUCAAUUAGUGGUUGACCAUUAAUGAUUACCUACUUUACAAGUAUUCACAUCCAAUUCUCCAAUUAGAUGUGUUUUCUAAUUUUAAUUUGGCCACUUGUCAAGUUAACUCAAAUUAGGGGAUUAAAAUAUUAAUUAAUUAGUGUUAUGGAAAAUAUUAAUUAACUAUUAAUUUUUCCCUCUCGUGACUUUUUAAGUCAUGUUAACCAAAUAGGGGCAUAAAUAAAUAUGAUGUUUCUAUUACAACAAGAUGUCUCCAUUGCAUGAAGAUGUCCCCGGCCGUUCUACUUCAACCUUGUUAUACUUCUUUCUAUAAAAGGAAGCCAACUGAAAUAUUAUUUUAUUUAAGAUUUUUGUUUCUAGCGAUGCUUCGGUUAUGCAGAAAUUGCAAGCAACUCCACAUCCAUAACCACAUAAUGAUAACGCUCACCCCCGCGUAUCAUCGGUCCACAUGCCUCGGGAAGAAUCAUCCUUCUUAUUCCUCCGACUCGCAUUCCAUGAAUCGCUUCCUGAAAUCCUGGACCCAAUGUAUGACGACGGCGCAAGUCGACUUCUACCGGAGAAGCGUUAUUCUCAAAACUCUUGCAAACAGGUUGUUUGGACUCAUCAUAAACAAUAUAGUGGAUUUUUAGUUUUAAUUUCGAACCAUUUGUUGCAGUAUCACCUUCAAGUACCUCAUUAACAUCCCGGAACCAAAGCUCUGAAUUAUAUGCCUUUCUAACUUGGUACUCCUUCUUCAGCACCUCUUGCACCAGUUUCCCAUUAUCAUCUGCUGGGAAGGUUCCACAAUCAGUUUUAUUCAAUUUUGACUUCAAAUCACCAGUAGGACAUUUGUACAAGGUAAUUGAAGAGGACCUUGAACAUUCGCGUGAUAAUGUUGUCACAUUCGAACCCAUGAUCCAUCUCAUUGCCCUUCUGUGCGCUGCUUCAUAUUCAUAGAAGAAAUGAAGCAACAAAAAAGCUGAAGAAAAGAAACAAAAUUAAAGAAGCUUAAAUAGCAAUGAUCUUACCUGUUUUCUCCACUGGUAAAAUAGGAGUGGUAACCCAUUGUUUUCAUCUUCUCCUUAGCAUCAAAGCUAAAGGAAUCGGGGCAUGCCGGAUGAGUUAAGU
rnacentral:misc_RNA from 1 species